GUCUAAGUAGCGUAGUGGUUAAUGCACGGCCCCGGUUAGGCGCGAGACGCAAGUUCGAAUCUCGCCUCAGAUG
rnacentral:tRNA from 1 species